AUUCUGGCUCCAUACCUUAAUGGAGUUAACAACCUCACUUUCUGUAAAAAACAUCUUCCAGCUGCAAUACUGGGAUUUGUUCUGAGUGCUGUCAUCCUCUUUUUCCUUAUCUCCAGUUUCAUUUGCUGCAACAAAGACUGUGCUGAAGCCUCACUCUCUUUCACUGAAGAAUUUCAAGGCUUUUAUCCUAACAUAUCACGACACUGAAUUUUGGCAUUUCUAAAACAUCCAGUUCAUCCACAGAACAUCCUUUUGAGGCUGGCUUCACUGCAUUACCCAUGGUCUAAGGAUGAGAUGACUCAAAGAACAUAAAUCCCAAAUUGUCAUUAGGCUGCAGGGUAAAAUCGAGCUGAAAUGCAACGAAUGAAGCUGUGACCAGGAGAGUGCAGUCAGCUGGGAACUAGAGCCAGGCAGCAGCUUUCUUAGUUUGAGUUUACAUGCCUUCCACAUCCUAUCUGAGCUAAAAUAAGACAGAAUGGAGCAAAACCAAUGCACUGUGUGCUACCUACAAACAUGCUGAGAACACAACUCUUGCCCUCAGAGAAGCCAUGUAAGAGCCUCUCCCCUGCCCAGCACUCUGUGCCCUGCCCAUCACUUCUGCCACCACUCACUCCUGCUUUGCUGCCUGCCCUCAGCCUCUUUGGAGCUAGCACCUUCCACUCACACAAAAUAAUACACAGCUCCACCAAUUAAAUGGAACUCAAUUCUAAUAAAAGACAGCUUCUUUGUUUUCAAUAACACAGAAGUGGGUUUGAUUUGCAUUUGGGUUCUUUGUUUCAAAAUAUUUUUGUUGUUCUGGAUGCUAGAGUAAAUUUU